GACUGGAUUUCUACGGUACAAGCUGGGUGUUUGCAUUUGAGCUUGGUUUGGCUUUUGCUUGAUUCGUUUGGCUGCUGACAUGUAAGAUUUGAGGUAGUCCAUGAGUGGACAUUUAAGUGAUAUUCUGGAGCUUUCUUGAGUGGAAGAUUGCUUGGUUUUACUUUGUGUUGUAUCGUGCCAAUGAGUUGUUAGUACUGACAGAUAAGCAAAUAGUUGCCAAGGUGACAUCUUACCUGUCAAAGUGCAUCAAGGACUUCGAGAAUGCUGCUGUGAUAAAUAAGGACAAGUUUUAUGUUUUCUGGCUUUAUGUAUUUAAAUGCACUUAGGGAAUGUUAAUUCUUAUGUAAAAGUUGAGAUGAAUAUUGCUGAUAGAAUGAAAU